rnacentral:rRNA from 1 species
GCCCACCAAAGCGACGAUCAGUAGCCGGCCUGAGAGGGUGGACGGCCACAUUGGGACUGAGACACGGCCCAGACUCCUACGGGAGGCAGCAGUGGGGAAUAUUGCGCAAUGGGGGAAACCCUGAUGCAGCGACGCCGCGUGAGCGAAGAAGUAUUUCGGUAUGUAAACUUCUAUCAGCAGGGAAGAAGAUGACGGUACCUGACUAAGAAGCACCGGCUAAAUAC